rnacentral:lncRNA from 1 species
CAGGGCGCGAGACCGGCGGCCGCGCGCACGCUGAGCCCUUUCUGCAGGCGCUUAGGCGGUAGGCGGGGCUACGUCGGGGAGUUGUGGGCGUUGAGAAAAAAGCGAUUGGUGCUGGGGCGGGGCGGAGAGCGUUGCGCGCGCGCACUUGCGGGAACGCGCACGCUGGAUGCGCGGAAGCCGCCGGACUCUGACCAAGGCUGUGGCCGGCAGGUCCUCGCUGGGUGCCCGCCCUCCGUGGCCGGGCGGUGAGUUCCGGGAAGUGGGAGCUACAGGCUCGCUCUGUGCGGGUGUGAGCGCUACCGUCACUCCUACUGUCGCGCAAGGACGUCGCGGCGGAGACACUGAGGAGGAACCAGGGAGAAACCGGGGUGGGACUCGGGGAGCCGCGAAAGCAACCGCACUGGAAAAACCGGAGGGCCGCGUCGCGUGUAGUGUAGAGUCGCCCAGGCCUCGCCCCUUGCUCCCGCGGGCUCCUGGCCGGGUCUGAGCUUUGGUCCGCAGAGGCCGUGCGGGAGCUGCUGCGUCACACCAGGCAGCCUGGGAACCCAACUGUUGGGCAACUGUGGUCGCCUCCCGCAGCCUCCUACGCUUGGGCGACCUGCCGCUGAAUAUCCCUCGGGGGUUGAUACCUUGCACGGGCGGGGCACCGGAGGAGGAGAGAAAAUAGAGUUCUGGUUGUUGACAUCCUGUGACGUUGCUUGAUUCUUUUGCGGGUGACCCAUUCCUAGUUCAGAAAAGAACUUUUACAAUCUUUCCCUUUUAGGUCCCUCCAUAGGGGGCGGGUUGGAGGGUGUGGUGCCGAAUCGCAACAAAAAAAGCUACUCUAGGGGCAUUGGUAACUGUCUCAGUUUAACAUGCUGCAAUUUAGUUGACAGUUUCGUUCAUAACUGUAUCUGCAAGCCUCAGUUACAACCUUGUCAGUGUGUUGGAAACACUAUCUUUUCAAGCAUGGUGAUACCCCAUUUCGCUGUUUUUGAAAGCAUUUUUGUGUGGUCAAAAUUAGUUUACACUUAUCCGUUUUUAGGUGUGCAAAUUUGUCUUGAAUUCCUUAAGGUUAACGACCAUUUUUGAAACUUUCUAAUCCCAUUCUUAAGUCAUUUGAUUUAAUUUAAAGGCCUGCCUUCCAAGUCAAAUGAAUAUGAUUUCCAUAACACAAAUUCCCCGAAUAAUAAUUCUUUCAUUUGGGAGAUACUUGCUUAAAUGGUUUGGUCUAUCUCCAACGAGCUUAAAAUAAAAUUCAAGGGUCUAUUCACUUUGGGAAGUGGGGAGAGGUAUACAUGACCUAUUCAAAAAACAUGCCUGUCUUCAGUCAUUAAAUAGUGAAACAAAGUAGAACAUUACCAUCUUUUGUGUGCUCUACCUCCUUUAUUUUUUUUUCCUUUUUGCUAGAUAUUAAAUAGCUUUGGGCUGGGAGUGUGGCUUGGUGGUAGAGUGCUUGCUUAGCAUGUGCAAGGCCCAGGAUUCAAUCCCCAGAACCACACACAAACACAAACACACAUAGCUUUAAUGCUGGGUUCAGAGGAAUAGUGAGAUCAUACAAAUCUGCAUUUCUGAAGCCCCUUUAGUAUUGUGAACUAAGUACUAAUUUUUAACAUUAAGCUUUGUAUUAGUAAUUAGCCUUAAGGAUACAAAUUUUGCCCUUUUUUUUCUUCUUGAUUACUAGAAUGAUAACAAAAAUCAAAGCUCCAGACAAACUAACCUUGACAAAGAAUAAUCAGAAGUAUGGUUCAGAUAACGAAGUCCUCAUGUAUAACUAAAGCACAUUUUGUCAUUGUAUUACAAAAAGAAUCAGUGUAUAGUCUAUUUUACAUGUUUUUUAAAGCAUGUCAAACCUUUUUUGACUGCUUACUCUGCCUCUGAUGAGCUAGUUUACCUAUAAGAGCUCUAGCAACCUCUUGCAGAAACAAUCUUGCCAAAUUUAUAAUAAAAUAUUAAACAUUGGAGAUUUGUAUUUUGAGUAAAACCAUACUUUAUUGCUCUGCAGAAUUUUAGAAUGUGGAGAAACACAAAGCGGAAAACUGCAAUAAUCUUGGCCAUACUAUUUUUUUUAAAAGGCAGUAGAUAUUGCAAACAUUUUGGAUGAUAUGUUAUCUGGAAAUUAAAUUCUCAGUUUCGAUUUGAAUAAACUAUCAGUAUUAAAAAAUAAUGAUCAAACAUUGAUAAUUUCAACAUGUUAUUAAAUAGUAAAAAUCUCAGAAAAUUACCGACUCUUGGAGCAUUUUUUGUUGUUGCUGAUGAUUUUGGCUUUUUACUAUUUAAUUUCUCCUUUAGAAAUUUUUAUGUUCCUUGGGAGAAUUACAGAAUCUAAGAUAGCAUUUUGUGGAUCCUUAAUUCUCAUAUACUAUUAAUAGGGCUAAUUACCAAUGAGUGUCCUUAAAUGGUGUUAGAGUAAGAACCACUUCUCAAAAAUUGUGAAAUAUGUAACAUAAUGGUAACCCUUGUUCUUCUGCUGAUUUUUUGGAUGCCUAGAUAGGAUUUAAAUCCCAUAAUUAUAUUCAUGCCAUUUAUGGAAGGUGUAUGUCUGAGUAGCCAUUAAAAUAUCUGAUAUUAAAAUGGUCC